GUCCUAGUAGUAUAACCAUUACUAUGGUCUUGUAAACCAUAAAUGAACCCCAACCGGUUCCUAAGACA
rnacentral:tRNA from 1 species